GAAGAUCUUGCCUUCAGGAGUGGACCAAAAACCCCUGAUUGCUGCUGGGACACUGAAGAUCUGCGGUUGUCUCCACCCCCCCACAGAAUCUUCCAGAAUCUCCAGGGAUUCACAGUUAACUUCCAGGAUGUAACUACGAUGCCAGACCUGUUGGAGUUUUCCAGCACAUUCUGUUUUUAUUUCAGUUACCGUGGCACUAUGAUUGGCCAAGUCCCCACUACCAAGUCCCACGCAGCAGAACUAAAUAACUGAUUCACAGCCGGGUCUCACUGCAAUAUGUGCAGUUGGACAAUGUAGUGGAAAUGACAGUGUGCUGAGGGACUGUAUCCCAGCAUCAAUCAGCACCUUCACAGGAGGAGAGAACAGAACAUGUCAUUGGGAAAGGAGCCAGAUGGAGGUAUUUUGCAGAGCGGGUUGCUAUGGGCUGGCUUGUGCUGUUUACAAGAGUAAGUGAAGCAGAUCCAAUCAUAAAAGAAACUGGAUAAAUACUUGAAAAGCAGAAAUGUACAAAGUUCUGGGGAAA